rnacentral:lncRNA from 1 species
CCACUACAUGCUGCUAGGCGUCACUGGUGGAUUGUGGGAACCAAUAGAAAUAAUUAUUAAUUAUUCUAUUAGGGUGGAAUCAAAAGAGUUUGAGCCAUCGAAAAGUGUUUCGAUGAUGAUGUAGAUAGAGUUCUCAUCAUAUCCCACUACCAGACAGAAUUGAACCUAUUAGGUCACACACAUAAGAAAUCGCGCAUGAUCGAUAUUUAAGAUACGAUAAAAGAAGUUUAUCGGAUGGAUUAAUUACAAUUAUAAUAUAGUUAAAUACUAAAGUUUACUAAUUUAUUAGUAAAAGAACUAAUUUGCAGUUGUUGUAAAUUAGAGGUAUUUAUGUGUAAGAGUUGCAUGGUGUAUUUACUAAUCGUUAGUAAAUAAUAUGAAGACUUAUGUGUAAAUGUUACACACGAAUCGAAU